UACGAAGGGGGCUAGCGUUGUUCGGAAUCACUGGGCGUAAAGCGCACGUAGGCGGAUCUUUAAGUCAGGGGUGAAAUCCCGAGGCUCAACCUCGGAACUGCCUUUGAUACUGGGGAUCUCGAGUCCGGGAGAGGCGAGUGGAACUGCGAGUGUAGAGGUGAAAUUCGUAGAUAUUCGCAAGAACACCAGUGGCGAAGGCGGCUCACUGGCCCGGUACUGACGCUGAGGUGCGAAAGCGUGGGGAGCAAACAGG
rnacentral:rRNA from 1 species